GUAACACCACACUGCUGCUCUCUGUGGGGAUCGUAGGAGCGCUGCUGUUGCUCACUGUUGUAAUUGUUGUUACCCUGAUACUUAGGAAAAGAUCUGCAAUGAGCAAGGCCAGAAACAGGAACAGAGAAAACACGGCUGACCUCAGUUCCCCUGUCGACCCCAGUGAUGAAGUGACAUACAUCUCAGUAAGAGCAAAGGCCAGAAAUAUAGCUCCUUCAUCUACUCAGGUCAUGCCAUUAGAAAACAUG